rnacentral:rRNA from 1 species
UACGUAGGGGGGCAAGCGUUGUCCGGAAUCAUUGGGCGUAAAGCGCGUGUAGGCGGUCCGGUAAGUCCGCUGUGAAAGUCGGGGGCUCAACCCUCGGAUGCCGGUGGAUACUGUCGGACUAGAGUACAGAAGGGGCAACUGGAAUUCUCGGUGUAGCGGUGAAAUGCGUAGAUAUCGAGAGGAACACCUGCGGCGAAGGCGGGUUGCUGGGCUGAUACUGACGCUGAGGCGCGAAAGCCAGGGGAGCGAACGGG